CCUACGGGUGGCAGCAGUCGAGAAUCAUUCACAAUGGGGGAAACCCUGAUGGUGCGACGCCGCGUGGGGGAAUGAAGGUCUUCGGAUUGUAAACCCCUGUCAUGUGGGAGCAAAUUAAAAAGAUAGUACCACAAGAGGAAGAGACGGCUAACUCUGUGCCAGCAGCCGCGGUAAUACAGAGGUCUCAAGCGUUGUUCGGAAUCACUGGGCGUAAAGCGUGCGUAGGCUGUUUCGUAAGUCGUGUGUGAAAGGCGCGGGCUCAACCCGCGGACGGCACAUGAUACUGCGAGACUAGAGUAAGGGAGGGGGAACCGGAAGUCUCGGUGUAGCAGUGAAAUGCGUAGAUAUCGAGAGGAACACUCGUGGCGAAGGCGGGUUCCUGGACAUUAACUGACGCUGAGGCACGAAGGCCAGGGGAGCGAAAGGGAUUAGAUACCCGAGUAGUC
rnacentral:rRNA from 1 species